AACUAAUACUGAACAGGGGUAAGAUUCAUAUCAUGAAUUAUAUGUAUCCCAGUCAAACCUGGGUUGUGAGAAAAGCUCAUAGUCAAUGGGUCCAUCUACAAUACUAUCAACGGUCUGGAUGCCUUCCAAAAGAGCUGAUUGAAAACCAUCAUUAUCAGAAGGCAAUAAUUUGUACAUUACUAACAAUCCAAGAGUGAAAAUGGCCUGCAACUUCGUGGAGUCUCCAUGGACUGAAAAGAAUAAAAGCAUUGAAAGAAGGAAUAAAUCAACACAGAACCGCAUGAUACACAGUACUGUGUCCAUCAACCUCCCAUCGUUGCCUGCGGGAAAUCCCCGGACUCUAUAUAUAAAAAGAAAGUUGUACUUGUCAACCACAUAUCUAUACCCAAAAUAAACUGCACCAACAGGGACCACAAGUGGAGCAAAUGACGAAUAUAUCAUGGUCAGGGCAAAUAUUGUCAAAUUAAAUGCAUAAUAUUGUGCAAAAUCAAAUUUCUGCUUGGGAAUGGGAGAGGUUCUGCUGAUUGGAUAUUCAGAAAGAUUUUGUCCCUCUGGAUCAAUUCCAUUAAAUCUGGGGGAGUCAAACACAUUCUCAUGCAUCAGUGGUCUCUGAAGACUGUUUAUCAUCUGAUUUUCCAGGGGGUACUCUUCGCUUUGCUCUGGCACUAACUGGAGCAUGUCAUUCUUCCGAAAUUUCUUGAUCUUUUUCUUUAUCCAAGGGAUUGGAGCCAAUAGAUCAAAAGAUAUUCCCAAGAAGGUGCUUGUGAUUAAAAAUGCAAGAGAAGAAAGGCAUGAUCUUGACAAGAAUGAUGCACUCAUAUAUUGCUCAAUCCUCUUGCAAUCCUCUCCAUCCAAAUAACACCUACCCAUCUUCAAGAUUGCACUUUCCAAAGAAGACUCAACCAGAGCUCUCAAUAGAAUAAGAUUUACAAGGAAGAAGCAAACCAUCUUUAGAAGUGCAGCUCUUUGCUCCCCAGACACAGUCAGAUGACGUUCAAACUUGGAAAGAUAAGAAAGAGCUGAAGGAACUACUAUAUACAUGCUCACAAAUAUUAUGACA
rnacentral:misc_RNA from 1 species